rnacentral:tRNA from 1 species
GUCCCCAUCGUCUAGCCUGGUCAGGACUCAAGAUUCUCAUUCUUGAAACAGGGGUUCAAAUCCCCUUGGGGACG